CUGACCGGCCACACCUCCUACCUCUACGUUUCCUGCAGCCCGUGGCUCCUCAGAGCACAACAAACCCGAGAGGCUGAUGUGAGGAGCCGCGGAGCUGCGGGACUGGGAUUAGAGCAGACUCAUCGCAGCUCUCGCUCCUGUCCGGAUAACCAUGGGUACAAGUGUAGUCACUGUUGCAAUCAUCACUCUGCUCGUCACUGGAUGUACAGUUGUAGGAGCAGCAGCAAAGGAUCACACCUCUGAGGGUGAGUGGGGAGGGCAGGGGUGCUGGGCUGU